UACACUCCUACGGGAGGCAGCAGUGGGGAAUUUUGGACAAUGGGCGAAAGCCUGAUCCAGCAAUGCCGCGUGAGUGAAGAAGGCCUUCGGGUUGUAAAGCUCUUUUGUCAGGGAAGAAACGGUGAAAGCUAAUAUCUUUUGCUAAUGACGGUACCUGAAGAAUAAGCACCGGCUAACUACGUGCCAGCAGCCGCGGUAAUACGUAGGGUGCAAGCGUUAAUCGGAAUUACUGGGCGUAAAGCGUGCGCAGGCGGUUUUGUAAGUCUGAUGUGAAAUCCCCGGGCUCAACCUGGGAAUUGCAUUGGAGACUGCAAGGCUAGAAUCUGGCAGAGGGGGGUAGAAUUCCACGUGUAGCAGUGAAAUGCGUAGAUAUGUGGAGGAACACCGAUGGCGAAGGCAGCCCCCUGGGUCAAGAUUGACGCUCAUGCACGAAAGCGUGGGGAGCAAACAGGAUUAGAAACCCUGGUAGUCCCAUG
rnacentral:rRNA from 1 species